UUCUUCUAUCUCUUUGUCUUUUUUGCUCAAAUUUUCUUGAGACAUUGCAAGCAGGUUGUUGGAGUUUAUCUCUGCACUUCUUUGUAAUUGUAGUUUUUCCUGUUAGUACAUUUUUCAAUAAAACUAGAUACCUAUAAAUAAUAAUAUUUGUU